rnacentral:rRNA from 1 species
UACGUAGGGGGCAAGCGUUGUCCGGAAUCAUUGGGCGUAAAGAGCGCGUAGGCGGUCCGGUAAGUCCGCUCUGAAAGUCCGGGGGCUCAACCCCGGGAGGCGGGCGGAUACUGUCGGGCUAGAGUCCGGAAGAGGCGAGUGGAAUUCCUGGUGUAGCGGUGAAAUGCGCAGAUAUCAGGAGGAACACCGAUGGCGAAGGCAGCCAUCUGGACCGACACUGACGCUGAGGCGCGAAAGCGUGGGGAGCAAACAGG